CUGUUACUGACAGCAGUUCCUAUCAAUUCCUCAAAGAUAACUUAAGCAGCAGCUAAAAUGAGGGAUGAUGAACAUUUACAGGGAGUUUGCUUACUUUGUAGGCAGUUUUACUUGCUAAAAAAUGUACCUAAAAUGCAGGUAAAAAAUAUGCAGGAACCUUUCUUUUAUAAAUGCAGGGACAGGAUAAGGCCUUUAAGGAUUUUAGUUAUUUGAUGAUCACCUCCUGAAAGCUCUUUCCUGAGUCAGCCAUCGUUUUGCCAGUUAGGAAACACUGUAGAAUAUUGCAAUAUGUACAAUUAGGAAAUACUAGAGCAGAGGAAACAAAGAAGCAAAUAAACAAAAAAAAAAAAAAAAAAAAAAAAAAAAAAAAAAAAAAAAACAAAAAACAAAAACCAAAGCCAAGCAAACAAAAAAUUUUAAAGCUGAAGUAUCAGAAAUCUUGUUGCAUUUCUAAGUUGGGUAUUAAAAGACUUCUUUUUAUAAAGGUAGUUAUAAAUGCAUCAUUGCCUGGGAUUUUUGUGUGUUAAAAUGCAGCAGUUUUCACAGCUAAAUACUCUCACAUGGGCUUUCUUAAAAAAAUAUAUGUAGAAAAUGAAAGGGGAUGAAAAUUAAGAGGAUGGUUGUUUUUUUGUGAGUAAUGAAUAUGAGGACAGUCCAUGGGAGAACACACAGGUGAUUGCAGCAGACAUCUUUGACCACCAACCCUGAAUGAAUCCAUAAGAAAAGGAGAACUUAGCACCUAGAUGUUGAAAGAAUGAAGCAGCUUGAAGUGAAACCUGUGGGCACAGAGAGCAGGAUGAACAAAGGGGAUGUACCAGAAGGAAGGAAGUCCUUUCCUUACUACUGCAAAUACGACUUUUUUCCUAUCAAGCAUCAAAUUAACUUAAAGGUAACACUUAUUUUUAUAAACUUCAGCAUCUCUUAAAGUCUGUGGUAGUCAUCAAAUGAUUCUUACUGCUUCCUAUUUUAAAAUAUCAAGCAGAAAUUUGUUAUUGGACUUAACGCUUUGC
rnacentral:lncRNA from 1 species